rnacentral:rRNA from 1 species
AUUGAACGCUGGCGGCAGGCCUAACACAUGCAAGUCGAACGGUAACAGGAAGCAGCUUGCUGCUUCGCUGACGAGUGGCGGACGGGUGAGUAAUGUCUGGGAAGCUGCCUGAUGGAGGGGGAUAACUACUGGAAACGGUAGCUAAUACCGCAUAAUGUCGCAAGACCAAAGAGGGGGACCUUCGGGCCUCUUGCCAUCGGAUGUGCCCAGAUGGGAUUAGCUUGUUGGUGGGGUAACGGCUCACCAAGGCGACGAUCCCUAGCUGGUCUGAGAGGAUGACCAGCCACACUGGAACUGAGACACGGUCCAGACUCCUACGGGAGGCAGCGGUGGGGAAUAUUGCACAAUGGGCGCAAGCCUGAUGCAGCCAUGCCGCGUGUAUGAAGAAGGCCUUCGGGUUGUAAAGUACUUUCAGCGGGGAGGAAGGGAGUAAAGUUAAUACCUUUGCUCAUUGACGUUACCCGCAGAAGAAGCACCGGCUAACUCCGUG